CCCACUUGUGGUCGGUUUACAGGUGGUGCAUGGUUGUCGUCAGCUCGUGUCGUGAGAUGUUGGGUUAAGUCCCGCAACGAGCGCAACCCUCGUUCUAUGUUGCCAGCACGUGAUGGUGGGGACUCAUAGGAGACUGCCGGGGUCAACUCGGAGGAAGGUGGGGACGACGUCAAAUCAUCAUGCCCCUUAUGUCUUGGGCUUCACGCAUGCUACAAUGGCCGGUACAAAGGGUUGCGAUACUGUGAGGUGGAGCUAAUCCCAAAAAGCCGGUCUCAGUUCGGAUUGGGGUCUGCAACUCGACCCCAUGAAGUCGGAGUCGCUAGUAAUCGCAGAU
rnacentral:rRNA from 1 species